GCCUGGGUGGCUCAGUUGGUUGGGUGUCUGACUUCCGCUCAGGUCAUGAUCUCACGGUCUGUGGGUUCGAACCCCGUGUCGGGCU
rnacentral:tRNA from 1 species